rnacentral:rRNA from 1 species
GAACCGUCCAAACGUUAUUCGGAAUCACUGGGCUUAAAGGGUGCGUAGGCGGCGCGGAAAGUUGGGUGUGAAAUCCCUCGGCUCAACCGAGGAAUUGCGCCCAAAACUUCCGUGCUCGAGGAAGAUAGAGGUGAGCGGAACUUAGGGUGGAGCGGUGAAAUGCGUUGAUAUCCUAAGGAACACCGGUGGCGAAAGCGGCUCACUGGAUCUUUUCUGACGCUGAGGCACGAAAGCUAGGGUAGCGAACGGGAUUAGAUACCCCGGUAGUCCUAGCCGUAAACGAUGAGCACUGGAUUGGAGGGUCCUCCAUAGCCUUCCAGUCGCAACGAAAGCGUUAAGUGCUCCGCCUGGGGAGUAUGGUCGCAAGGCUGAA